rnacentral:sRNA from 1 species
GAGCAGAGCACCAAGAUCAUUCUGGCAGGAACAGCCAGUGGGAGGUUCCAGCUGAGCGCUCCCCAGAGGUGAGCUGACCCCCAGCCACAGCACACAGGACCAGGGUGUGAGAACAGCAUCAUCAGCAUCAUGCUAUUACAAUCCCAAACCACGGGGGUUUCUGACAGCUUUACACCAAAGGGCAUCACCAUCCCUCAAAGAGAGAAACCUGGACACAUGUACCAAAAUGAAGAUUACCUGCAGAACGGGCUGCCAACAGAAACCACUGUUCUUGGGGUAAGUCCACCUCAUUAUAAGGGGAAUAUCGAGAAAAUACUUUGUAAAUGUAUCUAGACUACAGAUCUACAGUGGGUCUGGGAAACUCUUUCACUCUUUUCUGGCUGACUCCAGGCUAAUGAAGACAUGAAAUGGAGCUUUAAGGGAAGACUAUAUGCUCUGCAGCAGUUUCUAGAAACUAAAACCACUAGAUCUUUUUCACUAGCAUGCUUCACAAUUAACAAGUUAGUCUUUCUUACUUUAUUUAUUUAUAUAUUUAUUUAUUUUGAGACAGAAUCUCCCUCUGUCACCCAGUGCGGAGUGCAGUGGCACGAUCUCAGCUCACUGCAACCUCAGCCUCCUGGGUUCAAGUGAUUCUCCUGCCUCAGCCUCCCGA